UACGUAGGGGGCAAGCGUUGUCCGGAUUUAUUGGGCGUAAAGAGCGUGUAGGCGGCUUGGUAGGUCCGCUGUGAAAACUCGAGGCUCAACCUCGAGAUGUCGGCGGAAACCACUUGGCUAGAGUCCGGAAGAGGAGAGUGGAAUUCCUGGUGUAGCGGUGAAAUGCGCAGAUAUCAGGAAGAACACCGGUGGCGAAGGCGGAUCUCUGGGCCUUGCCUGACGCUGAGGCGCGAAAGCUAGGGGAGCGAACAGG
rnacentral:rRNA from 1 species